AUUGAACGCUGGCGGCAGGCCUAACACAUGCAAGUCGAGCGAGCGGCGGACGGGUGAGUAAUGUAUGGGGACUGCCUGAUAGAGGGGGAUAACUACUGGAAACGGUGGCUAAUACCGCAUACUAUCGGAUAACCCAUAUGGGAUUUGCUGGUAGGUGGGGUAAAGGCUCACCUAGGCGACGAUCUCUAGCUGGUCUGAGAGGAUGAGCAGCAACACUGGGACUGAGACACGGCCCAGACUCCUACGGAGGCAGCAGGAGGGAAUCUUGCGCAAUGGGCGAAAGUCUGACCCAGCAACGCCGCGUGAGUGAAGAAGGUUUUCGGGUCGUAAAACUCUUUUGUUAGGGAGGCGGUAUCGAACCAGAAAGCCACGGCUAACUACGUGCCAGCAGCCGCGGUAAUUC
rnacentral:rRNA from 1 species